CCUACGGGAGGCAGCAGUGAGGAAUAUUGGUCAAUGGGCGGGAGCCUGAACCAGCCAAGUCGCGUGAGGGAAGACGGUCCUAUGGAUUGUAAACCUCUUUAGUCGGGGAGCAAUGCCGGGCACGCGUGCCCGGAUGGAUAGUCCCCGCAGAAUAAGCAUCGGCUAACUCCGUGCCAGCAGCCGCGGUAAUACGGAAGGUCCGGGCGUUAUCCGGAUUUAGUGGGUUUAAAGGGAGCGUAGGCCGCAUGUCAAGCGAGCUGUGAAAUGUCCGGGCUCAACCCGGGCCUUGCAGCGCGAACUGGCGGGCUGGAGUACGCGGAAGGCAGGCGGAAUUCGUCGUGUAGCGGUGAAAUGCUUAGAUAUGACGAAGAACCCCGAUUGCGAAGGCAGCUUGCUGCAGCGGAACUGACGCUGAUGCUCGAAAGCGCGGGUAUCGAACAGGAUUAGAUACCCCUGUAGUC
rnacentral:rRNA from 1 species